rnacentral:tRNA from 1 species
UAGCUUAGUGGUAGAGCUCCCGCUUCGUAUGCGGGAACACUUGGGUUCGAUUCCCAG